AUGAAACCGUGUGAAAGCUGCCACAGGUGGAUUCACUCCCGUCUCUGUCUGGCCUGAGUGUGACAAGGAGGGGAAUAGAAGGGAGCUCUGCUGUUUUCCUUGGAGCCUGGCUUCUGGAAGCAUUCCCAGUGGCUGGCCUAUUCAUCAGGGCUGUUACACUGCUGCUGCUGCUGCAAAGAGGGAAGUACCUUUUUCUCUUCCUCUUCAUUAGCAUGUGCCAUGGUGUGAGGCACUGUGCUGGGGAGGGAACCCCGCUGCGAGCAGCACUGGGUAAACACAGCC